UUUCAAUGAAGAUAACUUCAGUUCUGCUGCUGAAUGAAAGUGAUGAUAAUGAAGACUGAGAAA
ensembl:snoRNA Small nucleolar RNA SNORD38